GAUGAACGCUGGCGGCGUGCCUAAUACAUGCAAGUCGAGCGAACAGAUAAGGAGCUUGCUCCUUUGACGUUAGCGGCGGACGGGUGAGUAACACGUGGAUAACCUACCUAUAAGACUGGGAUAACUUCGGGAAACCGGAGCUAAUACCGGAUAACAUAUUGAACCGCAUGGUUCAAUAGUGAAAGGCGGCUUUGCUGUCACUUAUAGAUGGAUCCGCGCCGUAUUAGCUAGUUGGUAAGGUAACGGCUUACCAAGGCAACGAUACGUAGCCGACCUGAGAGGGUGAUCGGCCACAGUGGAACUGAGACACGGUCCAGACUCCUACGGGAGGCAGCAGUAGGGAAUCUUCCGCAAUGGGCGAAAGCCAGACGGAGCAACGCCGCGUGAGUGAUGAAGGUCAUCGGAUCGGAAAACUCUGUUAUCAGGGAAGAAAAAAUGUGUAAGUAACUGUGCACAUCUUGACGGUACCUGAUCAGAAAGCCACGGCUAACUACG
rnacentral:rRNA from 1 species